rnacentral:rRNA from 1 species
UACGGGGGGGGCAAGCGUUGUUCGGAAUUACUGGGCGUAAAGGGCUCGUAGGCGGUCUGUCACGUCGGGAGUGAAAACUCAGGGCUUAACCCUGAGCCUGCUUCCGAUACGGGCUGACUAGAGGUAUGCAGGGGAGAACGGAAUUCCUGGUGUAGCGGUGAAAUGCGCAGAUAUCAGGAGGAACACCGGUGGCGAAGGCGGGUCUCUGGGCCGAUACUGACGCUGAGGAGCGAAAGCGUGGGGAGCGAACAGG